AGUGAACGCUGGCGGUAGGCCUAACACAUGCAAGUCGAACGGCAGCACAGUAAGAGCUUGCUCUUACGGGUGGCGAGUGGCGGACGGGUGAGGAAUGCAUCGGAAUCUACUUUUUCGUGGGGGAUAACGUAGGGAAACUUACGCUAAUACCGCAUACGACCUACGGGUGAAAGCAGGGGGUCUUCGGACCUUGCGCGAUUGAAUGAGCCGAUGUCGGAUUAGCUAGUUGGCGGGGUAAAGGCCCACCAAGGCGACGAUCCGUAGCUGGUCUGAGAGGAUGAUCAGCCACACUGGAACUGAGACACGGUCCAGACUCCUACGGGAGGCAGCAGUGGGGAAUAUUGGACAAAGGGCGCAAGCCUGAUACAGCCAUACCGCGUGGGUGAAGAAGGCCUUCGGGUUGUAAAGCCCUUUUGUUGGGAAAGAAAAGCAGCAGGUUAAUACCCCGCUGUUCUGACGGUACCCAAAGAAUAAGCACCGGCUAACUUCGUG
rnacentral:rRNA from 1 species